UACGUAGGGACCAAGCGUUGUCCGGAAUUACUGGGCGUAAAGAGCUCGUAGGUGGUUUGUCGCGUUGUUCGUGAAAUCCCACGGCUUAACUGUGGGCGUGCGGGCGAUACGGGCAGACUGGAGUACUGCAGGGGAGACUGGAAUUCCUGGUGUAGCGGUGGAAUGCGCAGAUAUCAGGAGGAACACCGGUGGCGAAGGCGGGUCUCUGGGCAGUAACUGACGCUGAGGAGCGAAAGCGUGGGGAGCGAACAGG
rnacentral:rRNA from 1 species